rnacentral:rRNA from 1 species
UACGUAGGCAGCGAGCGUUGUUCGGAGUUACUGGGCGUAAAGGGCGAGUAGGCGGUCCGCUAAGUCUGAUGUGAAAGCCCGGGGCUCACCCCCGGAAGGGCAUUGGAAACUGACGGACUCGAGUCCCGGAGAGGAAGGUGGAAUUCCUGAUGUAGCGGUGAAAUGCGUAGAUAUCAGGAGGAACAUCGGAGGCGAAGGCGGCCUUCUGGACGGUGACUGACGCUGAGACGCGAAAGCGUGGGGAGCAAACAGG